rnacentral:rRNA from 1 species
GAUGAACGCUGGCGGCGUGCCUAAUACAUGCAAGUCGAGCGAACUGAUUAGAAGCUUGCUUCUAUGACGUUAGCGGCGGACGGGUGAGUAACACGUGGGCAACCUGCCUGUAAGACUGGGAUAACUUCGGGAAACCGAAGCUAAUACCGGAUAGGAUCUUCUCCUUCAUGGGAGAUGAUUGAAAGAUGGUUUCGGCUAUCACUUACAGAUGGGCCCGCGGUGCAUUAGCUAGUUGGUGAGGUAACGGCUCACCAAGGCAACGAUGCAUAGCCGACCUGAGAGGGUGAUCGGCCACACUGGGACUGAGACACGGCCCAGACUCCUACGGGAGGCAGCAGUAGGGAAUCUUCCGCAAUGGACGAAAGUCUGACGGAGCAACGCCGCGUGAGUGAUGAAGGCUUUCGGGUCGUAAAACUCUGUUGUUAGGGAAGAACAAGUACAAGAGUAACUGCUUGUACCUUGACGGUACCUAACCAGAAAGCCACGGCUAACUACGUGCCAGCAGCCGCCGCCGUAA